GAAGGACUUAGGUGCCUACCUUACAGCUCUGCAAUAUGUCCUCUGAUUGGCUGGUAAAAAUGGGGACUAAUAAGCUUUGGUUUGGAGGAGUUGGAAACCUGCUAGCAGCAGGACACAGAACCAGCGAUUCAAAUCAUCUUCUACCCAGCAGGUGUUCAUAAGUUGCCAUCACUUCCAAUCUGGCUUCAGGGCUGACCCUGAGUGCCCAUUCCUAGUGGGGUGGGGCUCCAGAGACCUAGAGUUAUUAACGGACGGCAGCAAAGUAGCAGAAUAGGAAGCUGAGACUCUACACCCAGCUGCCACAGAAGGUAGGUGAGCGGUCGGGGCAGGGAUGAGGGUGAAAUAUCAAUACAAACCAGGAACCAAUAACAAGU
rnacentral:lncRNA from 1 species